AAACAUCAAUGCUCUCACAACGUCCAGCAGUAGCAGAAUAUUCCAAGAGCAAUUCGAUUAUUCCCUUCCAACGUUCACUAGCAGCAAACAGUUUCUCACGGCAAUGCACGAUUCCCAAAUGGAAAUAUAAGAAAAGUAGCAGAAGCAGUGAGCAGUAUGCUGCAAUUUUGUUUUCUUCUCCAAACGUCCCUAUCCUUAUUAAUGUCGUAGCAGCAGCCAAGCAAGUCGUUGGUCCCCCACUUUCCCCUUUCGGAAUGGGGUUGAAUUCUCAGGAAAAUGUGUCUCCCCCAAAUGGUGAAAGACUUUUGAGUUUGAAUUUUGAAUGGGGCCAUUUCACCCGAAUUCCCCCCAAAAUCGUGCCCUAAUUCCUCCUAUUUAAACCCUUCUCUUCUUCUUUGUUGGGGGUGGGAAGAAAAUUGGGGAUAUUGAGUUGGGAAAAAAGUUGGAAUUUCAGUUGAUACGAAAUAGGUUCGAGUUUUGAUUUUCGGCCUUCUUUAGAUUUUUCGGUUUCCAGUAGCUAAAGACUACAUACAAGAAUAUAUUUGCAAGAAGAAAGGGAUAGAUACAGUUAUUAAAACUGGAAAUUCUGAGUCCUAGAAAUCUGUUUCGAAGCUUGCAUAGGAGAUUUUUCAUAGUAGCCUUGUUUGAUUUUCAUUUGUGGUGAAGUCGCUACUCCUCUGUUCGUUUUGGUCGCAGUCGCUGCCCGGAAGAAGGUAACGCUCUCUCCCUUUUAAUACUUUCCUCAUCUUUUCCGUUCCAGCAUAAUGUCUAUAGUUGUGCUUUUGUUUUGUUUGCUAUUGUUUGUUGUUGAGUUCUGGAUGGUUUGAUAUAGUGUGUAUUUCUUUAUGCUAUUUCAAUGUAGUUGGAUUCGUCUGUUCAAAUCUAUAUUUUUUCGUUUUCGAUGUCUUAAGAUGUCAAAAUGGGAACUCAUUUCGCUAACGUUGAUGGUAUGAGCUAUUUCUUCUUCAAAUGAAAGAUGAUUUCUCAAACUGUCUAAUAUGGAAAUUGGAUGUUAUAUUAUGUACUGUUUGAGAUUAAGUCGUGGCUGCUCUCCCCUUCUUGUUAUAUUUGUUUGGUUUUGGCAUCUCAAACCAACGUGUUGGUAUUCAUGGCUAUUUGUUUGUCCUGGAAGUCCAGUUUUCAGUUUAACGGUAUAUUUUGGCCCAAAUAUGAUUGUUUAGCUUUACUAUUUGCCAUGUUUUGGUGUUACUGUUUGAUAGUAUCAUCCUCUAAGGAUAUUACUUUCUUCUUUUUGCCUAUUUGUGUUUAUAUUUGCUCUAUAUUUUGCUAUUAUGUAUUCCCCUGAUAAGACUUGGCAACGUUUAGUUCUAACUAGUCCCCUUAGGAAAAUUUUGGAAGCAUAUGGUAUAUGUUGACCAAUUCUUAUUUUUUUAUUUGUUGUUUAUAACCUCUCUAGUUAUUACUUUUCUCUACUGUGCUAUUCCAUGCUGGGGAUAUUAUAAUUUAUGCUUUGUUAGUUCUUAUGUUUGGACAAAUAUGUAUAUUGUUCCUAUAUUUCUCUAAUCACUGAAGUGUACUGUAAUGAACAAGUUUUAUCUUUGUUUCUCCAUCUUUGUCAUCUUGUAUGUGUGUCAUUAGUCUACAUAAUUAUUUAAGUGCCUAUAGUGUUCUCUUUAUUUUUCUUUUAAAACUAUUGUUGUCCAUGUGCCACUGCACGAUUCUCUCAAAUGGGGAUUAUGUGUUAAUUUCCACUUUCUUGGGUCAAAAUGCAUAUUUUCCUGUAGGUUGGUUUACACUUCUUGCAUCUAUAUCAGUUGGAAUUAUAUAUUAACUCCUUAUACUCUUUUGCUUGCAUGUGAAAUCUGUCGGAGGUCACCACGAACUCGUUCCUUUCCCUUGCAUUUCCAAGAGAGCCAUAAAGGCUCAAUUUCCUGUGUUUAUCAAGUGGGCCAACUAAAAAUUGUCGAACAUGUCUCAGUUGGGAGAACACGCAGCAAUUUUGAGAAUUGAAAAUUGGGCCUUUAUUUCAGAAGACUGUAUUUCGUUAUUAUUGGGCCUAAGCCCAUUUAUUCAUUAUGUUUGUUAUUUUAUAGAGUUUAGGACAUGUGAAAAAUUGGGCCUAAGGCCUAAAGAAAAAUAUUUAUUUUUACGUUAGUUUAGGACAGGUGCAAGUGACUCUAAUGGCCCAAGACAAAAUGGACCCAAAUACUGUCCCAGACGGACAGGAAAAUCAGAUUUGGGCCCAAAUCUCUUUCCAUCUUCAAUUUGAUUAUGUUUGUGUUUGUUGUUAAUCUUAAGGUCGAAAAAAUUCAAAUCCCCGAAAGACACCCAUUUUGAUUUAACAAUUUAACUAAAUCGGUCUUUUAAUUGAACUUAAAGAAUAAUUUUGAGAAAUAUCUCACUUAGAUAUUAGUUCUACAUUCUCCUCCUUUUCCCUUUAAAAUGAUUCUAAUUAUAAAAAUUGUUCAAAUCAAAUUAAGUUAAAUUAUUUUAGCCAAAUAGUUAAUUGCCG
rnacentral:lncRNA from 1 species